rnacentral:rRNA from 1 species
GGAGCGAAAGCGUGGGGAGCGAACAGGAUUAGAUACCCUGGUAGUCCACGCCGUAAACGUUGGGCGCUAGAUGUGGGGACCAUUCCACGGUUUCCGUGUCGCAGCUAACGCAUUAAGCGCCCCGCCUGGGGAGUACGGCCGCAAGGCUAAAACUCAAAGGAAUUGACGGGGGCCCGCACAAGCGGCGGAGCAUGCGGAUUAAUUCGAUGCAACGCGAAGAACCUUACCAAGGCUUGACAUACACGAGAACGGGCCAGAAAUGGUCAACUCUUUGGACACUCGUGAACAGGUGGUGCAUGGUUGUCGUCAGCUCGUGUCGUGAGAUGUUGGGUUAAGUCCCGCAACGAGCGCAACCCUCGUUCUAUGUUGCCAGCGCGUAAUGGCGGGAACUCAUAGGAGACUGCCGGGGUCAACUCGGAGGAAGGUGGGGAUGACGUCAAAUCAUCAUGCCCCUUAUGUCUUGGGCUUCACGCAUGCUACAAUGGCCGGUACAAAGGGCUGCAAUACCGUAAGGUGGAGCGAAUCCCAAAAAGCCGGUCUCAGUUCGGAUUGAGGUCUGCAACUCGACCUCAUGAAGUCGGAGUCGCUAGUAAUCGCAGAUCAGCAACGC